GAUGAACGCUGGCGGCGUGCCUAAUGCAUGCAAGUCGAGCGAACAGACGAGGAGCUUGCUCCUUUGACGUUAGCGGCGGACGGGUGAGUAACACGUGGGUAACCUACCUAUAAGACUGGGAUAACUUCGGGAAACCGGAGCUAAUACCGGAUAAUAUUUCGAACCGCAUGGUUCGAUAGUGAAAGAUGGCUCUGCUAUCACUUAUAGAUGGACCUGCGCCGUAUUAGCUAGUUGGUAAGGUAACGGCUUACCAAGGCAACGAUACGUAGCCGACCUGAGAGGGUGAUCGGCCACACUGGAACUGAGACACGGUCCAGACUCCUACGGGAGGCAGCAGUAGGGAAUCUUCCGCAAUGGGCGAAAGCCUGACGGAGCAACGCCGCGUGAGUGAUGAAGGUCUUCGGAUCGUAAAACUCUGUUAUUAGGGAAGAACAAACGUGUAAGUAACUGUGCACGUCUUGACGGUACCUAAUCAGAAAGCCACGGCUAACUACGUG
rnacentral:rRNA from 1 species